rfam:Salmo salar isolate Sally breed double haploid chromosome ssa02, whole genome shotgun sequence.
GUCCCUGUGGCUCAGUUGGUAGAGCAUGGUGUUUGCAACGCCAGCAUGGUGUGUGCAACGCCAGGGUUGUGGGUUCGAUUCCCACGGGGGGCC